CGGGAAAAGCUCAAAUUUAAAAUCUGGCGGUCUUCGGCCGUCCGAGUUGUAAUCUGGAGAAGCGUCUUCCGCGCUGGACCGUGUACAAGUCUCUUGGAACAGAGCGUCGUAGAGGGUGAGAAUCCCGUCUUUGACACGGACUACCAGUGCUUUGUGAUGCGCUCUCGAU
rnacentral:rRNA from 1 species